GAGGAAGCUUUGGGAGAUAAAUAUAGCAGUUCAAUUUGAGCAUAUUAAGUGUGUGAUGCCUGCUAGAUAUUAUUGAAGACGGUGAGUGGUCAAUUGGAUAUAUAGCCUGGAGUUCAGGGCAAGUUCUAAACUGAGGAUAUAAUCUUGGAGGACAGCAGCACAUAAAAGACAACAGUGACUCUGUGACAUAUUCAAUUUUCCAAGUUGGCCACAACAAUUUCCCCUAUCCGACAAGAUUUUCUGCAAAGUGAUGUUGUAGCAAUCCACCAUGAGAUGAAGCCCGUCAUUGUGGGUUCUGUGUCUGCUUUGACCAACAAUAUUCAGUAGAGGUGACACUGUGCAAGUUGCAAGCAUAGCCCUUAGCUGGACUGGCAGUGUGCAUGUCCUGCCUCUUGGAACACUUGCUCUUGGGAAGUUCUAGCUCAGAACCCAGACUCCAUAUUAUGAGGAACUCAAGCUUAUCUAAGCAUACCAUUCAACAGCCCCAGUUCAGUGGCCACAACAGCCAGCAUCAACUGCCAGCAGAUAAAGUUGAAAUAAAACUGAGUACGAUAUUGGAAGAACCUGAAAUCAUUCACAUCUCUCUCUUAGUAUGUGGCUGCUGCUUUUGACCAAGUGAAAAAUCUCCCAUUCUAGAGAUAAAACCAGAAAUCAGAAUAUACUUCUCUGGCUUGCCUUCAUCGUGUAAUGUCACAUGAUUCUGUGACUCGCCUGUGGGAUCACCAUCGCCUGUGAGAUGCUCCUUCAUGAGGUUUUCGGAUAGCAUGCUCUUAGAGGCUCUUUCAGGAUACCUGGCAAAUGUCAUAUUCAAGGGCAAAAGAAACACCGAAACAAAAAUAAAUGUACUUUAUA